rnacentral:lncRNA from 1 species
AACAGGAAAUUUGUGAGAAUCCUCGAUUUAUCAUUGGUGGAGCCAACAGAACUGACAUCUGUCAAGGAGAUCUAGGUAGGAAAGUACCCUCGGGUCAUAUCCAGCCAAACAAUCAAGGGGUGAUUAAAAGGUGAUUAACAUCUGGUUUGGCUUUUAAAGAAUUUUGGGGAGGAGGUUUUUAUAACACUACUUUGUGCCCAUUUAUCUAUGUGCUGGUGAUGGUUUCAUUUAAUUUCUGUCCCCCCCCCCACGAUCUCAUGAGUUCACAGGGGAUAUGCCUCAGUCCACAGCAUCCUCCUGACAGUCUGAAGGACAUUUGCACACCCCACUCAGGAGGAUAAAAGCCCUGCUUUUAACUGCACCCAUUUCCUUAAAAGAGAGCCCUGAAACUGUCUGAAUACCAAGCAUGUCCCUUGAAUAUAUAUUGAAUCCAUAUGCACACAAAAAGUGCACUUGUAACUCAAACUCUUGUUUAAAACGCCCCAGCCAGAGUAGCUCCAUAUUAAUGGAGUCUUUCAACAAGGAUGACAUUUGCCAUAUUGAUGAGCACCCAGCGUUCUGUCCGGGUGGUCACCUUGGCUCUUCUACCAGACCUUCCUCUCUCAGGAAGUACUAUCUUUGGCGUGGACUGCAGGAAAGCUCUACACUUGAUCUUAGCCAAAAGGCCAAAAAGCGACUGACUGCAGGAAACUCUAUGAAGCAAAGGUGGAAAGAACAUCAACAGACCUACUUUAAAAUUUGAGGGAAAGGUGCACUCGAGACCAAAUGAAAGGAAUUUGGCCCCAGAAAGAGAGGCUGAGGAGGUUUUCAAUAUCGGGGUUCCUGCACCCGGGAGAAAGAUGUCUGCAGAGCCCUGGGAGAGCUAAUAACCUGGACUUCCUAACACUGUUUCAAAGGAGAGGCUUGCUUCUUCAGGGGUGGGGGUGGGGAGGACGGCUGCUGGGAGCUCUCAGUUUCCCCUCUACAGUCUCAAAGAUGCUGUCACAUCCACACAGGAAAUCAAAGGCCUUGCACAACUCAACCCAUCUGCUUAGAAGGAAAUUCUAUGACUGUCAGUGUGCCAGGCAUGCCCCUUGGGGAUUCUAUUUCUCUUUCUCUCUCUCUCUCUCUCAUACACACACACACACACACACACACACAGCAAAAUCACUAAAUAUAGCAUUCUGCCAGAAAGGAAGUUCAGAGAAUAAGAAAAUAUCCCCAUCUCAUUCCAUGGCCAGCAAUGUCUCAGCGCCCUCAAAAAGUGGCUGCAGAGAAGCUGCUUUACUGGCUUUCCUUCCAGUACAAGAGGGCUUGGCCGAUGGCUCUCAGAUGCUCAGUCUCCACUGAGGUAUGCACUCACAUUGCAAAAGUCCAGGAAGUACAGAUUUCAUCCAGGUGUUAGGAAGAAUGACACAUUUGACCUACUGCUCUGUGUUCAUUGAGGUCCAAAAAGGAAGUGAGCUUAUAUUACGGAAGGAGCCAUUGCCUAUACCCUUCUGGAAAACCAGUCAGAAGAGAGUAAGUCACCCUGAUCGAAUUGUCGAGGGACUGCCAUCAAACUCCUCCGGGUCGACCUCUCUGAGGUCAGAUCUGGAAGUAGGACAGUGAACACUAAGUGAACUUGUUCUUCAGAGAAGCAGAAGAAUCAGCUGGGAUUGGGCCUUUUUCUUCCCCGGAGGUGACCUAUGCCAUGUACUUUCCCCGCAGGGGACUGCUGGUUUCUCGCAGCCAUUGCUUGCCUGACCCUGAACGAGCGCCUGCUUUUCCGAGUCAUACCCCAUGAUCAGAGUUUCACUGAAAACUAUGCGGGCAUCUUCCACUUCCAGGUGAGGUCAUUGGAGUGUGGUUAAGAGGGCCAGCUGCUUUUCGGAAACCCACCUUUUCAGGAACACUUACCUCAAACACCACAAGCGUGUGGAGGUUUUCCCAUCACCACAAUGUGUUUGGAAUGUACCACUUACAUAUGUUAUUAUUUGUUUUCUAUAAUAUCAAAAUUGAUUUUUGAGAAUUCUUAUAGAUCAUUCAUAUGAUUAAACUUUUAUUAAAUGUUUUCACAAUUGUGUUUAAAAAAGAAAAAACAGUAAAGGAAGAGGGCCAGCUGCUGUCCACCCACCGCUGGUCUUCUGGCCUUGACUUUCCAGCGGCUUCAGGAAAGAUUCCACCCACCCUCCCAGUCUUGGCUGUGGGCAGUGACCCCCCUAAGGCCUCAGGCCUGUGAGGACGCAGUUGUUUAUCUCUGCCCCCUCAGCAGCCCCCCUCCCAAAACCCCAUCUUCCGCCAUGCUCCAGAAAGGCAGGAAGACAUCCUGUUUGCUGGCCUGUGGAUCUAUUUUUGCCUUUCCAUCUAUUUCUGCUGUGUUACCUGCAGCCUUUCUCAAGUAGGUUCCUAAGAUAUUAGCAUUGGCGGUUCAUAGGGCCCUUUAGUUUGCAAAGGAAACCCCCUGAAUGACUAUGGCUCCUUUCCCUGUUUUGCUUUAAAGGCAGGUCUAUACCAAGUCUAUCACUCACCUUUUCCAGGCCUUGGAAGGACAAUCUGGUCAAUCUGGGGACCAGGCUUCUGGCUCAGCCCAGAAAGGAGUCUUUUGGUUCCAGAAUCAACUAAACCAUUGGAAAUUUUCUAGAUCCAAAAUCUAGACGCAAAAUCAGAGAGCCAGAUCCUGGUGCUGGCCCAAAACUGAAGUGAGCUCCACACGUGGGGAUCUAGCAGAUGCUGGGAUUCUGAGGCAUCCAUCUGUUUCCAGCCCUGAAAGCACCCCCCCCCCCACAUGUCCUGGGACUGACCCAAAUCAUCAGUUGAUGUACCUGCUGAUUUUGUACCUCAGGACUGAAGGCUUGAGAGAAGGUCUUCUUUUCAGGUUCAGGUUCAGGUCCUGCUGCCCUCUGAACACGGGUAAGGCAGCCAGGCCCUCAUUUUCGUUUCUUCCCUGUGCCAUCAAGCUGCUAGUUUCCCUCUGAUAUUUAAAGGGUCUUCUACCUAAAUAGGGCCACAAAUAUAAAGACCACAUAGAUUUUUUUCCCCUCUUUUCAAUAAGGGAAAACAAUGUCAUUAGAGGGGAAAUUAAACCACAUUUGGCAGUCUUCAGUUAAAAUUGGUUUGUUCAAAAAAGAACAUUCAGAAUUGAAAUUAUUCAACAAUGUUCCUGUUAUAGCCAGAGUAUAUUCUGGGACACUCUCCUUUUCCCUAUCAGUCUUCUUCAGCAGCCAUUUCUACCUUGUUUGUCAUAAAGAGAUCUAUAAAUCAAUACGUCACCUUCACCUAGGCCAGCAGUUCUCAACGCUGCUGCAUAUUAGAAUCAGCUAAAAUACCUAAAAUAUGAUGCAUAGGCCCCACUCCAGACUUACUGAGCAGGAGAAUGACAAUCUCAAGCCCUCAGAUAUUCAUGGGGGACCUACCAUCCCUGAGGCUGGCCGGACUGUGUGCAAGAGAGAAAGCAAGAUAUAGCCCACGUUCCUGCCCCCAAGGAACUCACGGUCCAGUUAGAGAAAGAUACACACGCUCCAAAACCAAAAGAGUAUGAACAAGGACCAAGUGCAGAGCUGAGGCAAUGGGACCGCUUUGGGAUCAAAGAGAGUCUGAGGAAUGUGGAGGAGAGGCACGUGGUAACCUGACGAUGUGACUCUGUCCUUGGUGCCUCUGUGCAGUUCUGGCGCUACGGAGACUGGGUGGAUGUGGUCAUUGAUGACUGCCUGCCGACUUACAACAAUCAACUGGUUUUCACCAAGUCCAACCACCGCAAUGAAUUCUGGAGUGCUCUGCUGGAGAAGGCUUAUGCUAAGUAAGGCAACACUUGAGGAUGUGAGGCAGGGCUAAAGGUGGUGGGCUGCAAAAUCCAGCUGAAAUCUUGUCACAAGAGGCCGCGUGCAUGCACAUGUGCGCAUGCGUAACAGUUCAACUGGGUCCCUAAGUCUGAGGGGGUCGGGUCCAGGCAGCAACGGCUAUAACUAAAAAACUGUAUUUAAGGGGAGGAUGAAGACAUGUGUAGGAAAUCUUUAGCUUUAGCCUCCCAUAGUGAGCACUUUAAUUCUGCCUUCGUGGUGAUGUUGCAAGUCUUAUAUUUGAGCAUUAGAUCUUUGAAGCUCACAUUCCCAGAGUCUUGCUUGGCUCAACCUCAUGAUCACGCGGGAUAUUAAUAAAGCCAUGUUAUCUCUCAACUUGGAAGCUCCACCCCAGCUAUUUCUAAGGGCUCUAUGGAGCCCUUCCUUGGGGUUCAGGGUAUGGUGGAAAGAGAAGAGUCAGGAAGUGAGAAUGGCUGGGUUCCCAUCCCAGUGUUUCUGGUUCUCUGUGGCCUCGGGUAAGCCACUUAGCCUAUAAGACUCAGUUGCUCGAAAGUGAAGAAAGAGAAUCAUAGUAGCUACUCCAUUAGCUUACAGAGUUGUUGGAGAAUUAGAUAAGAGAACAUCACAGGACCCGAGAGUAAAAUUCUGGUGGCCCAGGGCCUGGGUCAUGUUUCCUGGAACCCUGUGACCUCAGAUUGGUCUUCAUUCUCUCUCCAAGGCUCCAUGGUUCGUAUGAGGCCCUGAAAGGUGGGAACACUACAGAGGCCAUGGAGGACUUCACAGGAGGGGUGACAGAGUUUUUUGAGAUCAAGGAUGCUCCCAGAGACAUGUACAAGAUCAUGAAGAAAGCCAUCGAGAGAGGCUCCCUCAUGGGCUGUUCCAUUGAUGUAAGCCUGGGGUGUGGUGUGCAGGGCAGGGAGCAGGCAACUAUCGGGAAGCCAUCCAUGUGAUGAAAAGCAAUGUAGGGCUUUCCUCUGGGACAGGGUGGAUGUUUUGUUUAAGGAAGCAGGAACUGGCUCUCAACUUUGAAAAUUUCUAAAGGAAGAAGAGUUCCUAGGGAUUUUCACUAAGGAGACUGGGCAAAGACACUCCAAGGCCUAGACUUUAGGUAGAAAUAGGUCCAGAGGCGUGUGUCAGCCCCGGCCUCUGUGGCCAGUGCUGCUCAACCCCAGCAUGCCCCCAAUUAAGCUGGCUGCAUAUCUGGUUCUGGACCUGAGCCAGCCAGUUCCCUGAGACAGCCUCUCAGUCACUGAGCUGUGAUCCUGUCUCUCACUUAGGACACGGGCCUUGUGUUGUGAUCUGGGAGAAGGUCGGCCUGCAGGCGCACUCUCAACACAACAGAGUAGUGUGAUCUGACACUGGGGCUAAGGGUAUGGAGACCCACAGAGUGGCCAGCCCUCCUGAGUUUCAGGAGACACACCUGCCCUGGGGGCUGCUCAGUGGAUAAUAGUCUUGGCUGGAGCUUUCCAUCACGGAGGAAGGAACUGAAGCUGAAUUCCUGAAUUUCCUUCCUCUGCUAAUACUCCAAAUGGGUCCAAAAGCUUGGGAAGAUCAGCUAGCAUUAAACACCCCUGGAUGAACAUUUUCUUUCUGCAUCACUUUUCUCCAUCUUGUCUCCAUUCACACUGUUUCUCUCUCCUCUUUCCCUUUGUCCCCUCCCUUCUUUCUGUCUCCUUCCCUUUCUAUCACCCUCCUUUGUUUGAUCUCUCCCUCCCUCUUCUGGACUGUCCCCGGCCCAUCCCGUCGGGCCUCAGGAUGGCACAAACAUGACCUAUGGAACCUCUCCUUCUGGGCUGAAAAUGGGGGAGUUGAUUGCACGGAUGGUGAGGAAUAUGGAUAACUCGCUGCUCAGGGACUCAGACCUCAUCCCCAGGGACUCAGAUGACAGACCAACCCGGGUGUGUACACCUCCAAUUGUCAGGAAUGACCACCCCUCCCACCUGCAUGACCCUGCAUGAGGCCUGUUGGUGUUAGACUCCCCUCAGCAGCCAGUGCCUUACAUGCAGACCUCCACAUGGGCCUUCCAGGGGGCUGGGGUGGAAUAACUUGCCUGCUCCAAGGCUCUUGGACAAGGUGGGGGAGACAGGAUUUGGAGGAACUCUCUGUGGGAGUUCUUUCAUACCCCGUGGUCCAGGCAGUUUCUCUGAUAACAAAUUAACAAGUAGAAAUACAAGAGACUUUGUUCAUUGUUAAAUAUUUCUUCUCUUCUAAUUCAGGUAUUCAUUCAACGCAGAUUUAUUGAGCUCCUACCAGGUGCCAGACACUCUUGUAGUAAACAAACAAAAAAAAUACAUUUUGUUCACUAAAAGAGUCUCUCCCCUCACAGAGUUUAUUUUCUAGUACUUUCAGAAGUAAUGCAUGCUCACUGAAAAAUACUUAUAGAAAAGCAUGGAGAAAAACUUAACACAUGUUUUCUCCCAUCUAAAGGUUGCAACUCUGAGUAUGUAGUAUAUGUCCUUCUAGGAUAUUUCUUUGCGUACAGUUAAUCUACAUUUUUAUUUUUAAAAUGUUGUCACACUGUAUGUACCUCUUUGCAUUGUGUCUUUUUUCAGUUAGCUUUAUGUUCUUCAUGUGCCAAUAUGAACUAUAUUGUUAAUGUGUCUCCCAGAACAUUCUUUAAUGUUUAUUUAUUUUUGAGAGAGAGAGAGCACCCGAGCAUGCGAGUGUGAGUGGGGGAGGGGCAGAGACACAGAGGGGAACAGAGAAUCCAAAGCGGGCUCUGCACUGACAGCAAUGAACCCGAUGCGGGGCUCAGACUCAUGAACCGUGAGAUCAUGACUUGGGCCAAAGUCAGUUGCUCAUCCGACUGAGCCACCCAGGUGCCCCUCAAAACAUUUUUUUAGUGGUUGCACAGUGUGCCAACACACAGAUAAGUUAUAAUUUAUUUACCCAAUACCCUAUCAUUGGAAAAUUAGAUUGUUUUCUCUUUCUUGUGUUGGCUAUUAUUUUUAAAUGCUAUCUUGAACAUCCUAAUAGAUAUAUCUUUGUGUGUGUCGUGAUAAUUUCUUUGGGACAGAAUGCCAGGGAAGGAAUUGCUAGCUGUGCAAAAGUAAUGCCAAUAGAGUCAUUUCAAGUGGUUUCCCAGGUCUAGACUUGAAAGAUGCAUGGACCUGCUUCCACAUCCUUUCUAUUCAGCAUGGUCUGGGUCACGUAAGGACGAAGAUGUGGAAGAGGCCAAGAUGCCAAAAGCCCUGGCUCCACCUGCAUCCCUGAAGUUGAAAAGGCUCACAAAUUGCACAGCCUAGCAUGGCUCCAGGAAGCUCUUCUUAAAGCUGUUAUGUUACCAGGCAAAGGAGAGCCAUAGAGAUAUGGUCUAGGGUUCAAUGGGCAUUGGAGAUCCUAUCCCUCUACUGAGCAUCUUCUGGGGCUGAAACUUGGUAAUUUCUACAAAUCCAAGAGCUUCCCCUAGACCGGUAGGCCAAAUCAUGUCUGAAUAGGACUCGACUCUGACCUCCUCCAAAUUCCUUCCCUGGGCACUGUGACUAUUGAUUUCUUGAGUAUUCUGUUCUUGAUGGGUAUUGAGGGGGGAAUGGGAUAUACAGAGAGAAGGUUAGACCUGUAUGUUUCAUCUAACCUCUUUUUUCAAUUCCUUUCUCUUCCAGGAGUUGUCAAGUCUGGGUGGGCUCGAGGGAAGGGGCCUACAUUUGUCCCUGUUCCUCCUUUGAAAGACCCCAAGAGAUCCAGAAAGGAGGGCCAGGGAUCUGCUUACCUACAUCGACAUUGUCCCAGCCUCAUACUGUUCUCCGAUGGUCAGAACAGACCUUUUCAGGGCAACCAGCUUGAGGGAGACCACUUGUCUGGGCUAUGUCUUCUUGACUCUCUAAAAGAGCCAGGGAGGGCCUUCUCAUGGCCAGGAUGUCCACUUUCAGAGCACAGAGGAGUCUGUGUCCUCGCAGAACCUGGAAAAUGAUCCAAUGUGUGCAGGCCCUGAUAGGCUGUCUGGUUUUUGCUCCACAGACAAUUGUUCCGGUUCAGUAUGAAACAAGAAUGGCUUGCGGGCUAGUCAAGGGCCAUGCCUACUCUGUCACUGGGCUGGAGGAGGUGAGGCUGAUGGCGCGGGUGGCUGGGGAGCUAUUUGGGUCAGCCUCCUGAAGUCAGGACUUAACUUACUGGGCCCCUUCACCUAGGCAGAGCUUGCCUCCUCUCAGAGGCACCACUCAUGGUCUGGGCCCAGCACCUGCAUGCAGUUAGAGGGGACCAUUGGGACUGUGAGACGUGGAUCUUGCCACAAGGUGGUGCUCAGUUCAUCUUUGCUUUUAGCGCUAAAAAUGGCAGUUUUCCCAACAGUUCCAGGGAACAAAUAGAAAUCACUUUGGUUUUAUGAAAUUGAUUUCAUGGGCUCUCAUGUCUCCUUUUCUUUGGGAGUUGAACAGAUUCAAUACUUUGCUCCCCCUGACACGUCGGGCUGAAGACAGGAAAUUUGUCAGGACUAUUGUGCACAGCUGGGCAGGCAGGCUGUGCCCUGUUCACAGGGAUGGGCAGAGACUGGAGGAAGGGGUGCCUUUUUCUUUUCUUUUUUUCUUUUUUUUUUUGAGAGACAGAGACAGCACAAGCAGGGGAGGGGCAGAGAGAGAGGGAGGCACAGAAUCCGAAAUAGGCUCCAGGCACUGAGCUGUCAGCACAGAGCCUGACUCAGGGCUCAAAUUCACAGACUGCAAGACCACCUGAGCCAAAGUUGGACACUUGACUGACUGAGCCACCCAGGUGCCCCAAAGGGCACCUUUUUCUAAUCAGUCCAUCUAUGAUGGCCAUUUCUGUAUAGUUACUCAGCCAGCAGGGUGUUUUUUCUAAUUCAAACAAAGACACCUAAUGUGUUAGAGUGGCCCUACAGUAUAUGCCCUCCCUCCUCCCCCAAAGCUCAUAAUGGCUGGGAAAACCACUUCUUAGAAGAUGGUCAAGCCCUAACCUCUGCAGACUCAGUCCUAAGGUUCUGACCAUUCACCUUGCCAUUCUGCAAGCGUGCCUCUGAUUAGUCUCCCCGACCAGGACCAGGCAGGACAGCCCCCUGUACAGGAUUCUGUCCCCAUUCCCUCCCCAGCCCUCAGGGCAAGACAGAAAACCCCCUUUCCAGAAAGGCCCAUAGCAAGAGUUUUUUCUCUUUGCCCAAGACCCUGUUCAAGGGUGAGAAAGUGAAGCUGGUACGGCUGCGGAAUCCCUGGGGCCAGGUGGAGUGGAACGGCUCCUGGAGUGACAGGUAGGUGAGGGGGACGGUCCAUGAGAAGGGGACAAACAGCCUGGGGCAAGGCUGGGUUGCAUAUCAAGAUAUAUGAGGAUUACAAAUGCGUGGUCUAAAAUUACCCUCCAGACCCAUGAUCCACAGAGGGGAAGUGGGUAUGUGGGCUCUAGGGAAAGGCCCACAGAAGAGCCAGGAGAGCUGGGGAUCCAGAGACCUCACUGAUGGCAUUGACUGGAAAGUUUCUAAAAAGCACGGGCUAGGUCCAGGUAGAAGCAAAGUGUGAAUGCAGGGGUCUGGACUAGACAAGGGAUUUCCCUUCUCAGAGUCUCUGUGUCCUUAUCUGUAAAAUGGGAACAACACUAACACUUACGUGGUGGGCUGGAGAGUGCCUAGCCAGUGCUAAGAUUUCCUGUCCCUUGCUGUCCCCAUGAAAAAGGUGCACAGUCCCCCUGAAAGAUCUUACCACUUAUCAGUGAAUGGAAUGAACUGGGUGCAGCGAAAGUACAAACACGGGGGACAUUUACAAAGGAACAUUUACAAGGCUUCAUAGGCUGAUGGCCAAUUGCCUCACUGAGUGGAGAGAAGCCCCUUGAGUGCCUCUUUUAUUCCCAAGAGGAGAUAGCAGGACUCAGUAGCCAUGUGUGCCUUCAGCCCCUGUGCUUACCUCCACCCAGGGCACCAUCAUUACUGGUUCAUUCAGCUCUUCAUUUGCUGAGUAAGUCUUAUUGAGCACCUACUGAACAGCAGGCACAGGCACAGACACUGAGGAUAUUCUGUGAAUAGGCAGCCUCCCUGGAUGACUGAGGGGUUGACUCUAGUCCUCUUACUGCCUCUUGCAGCCAUUCUCUGGCAUUCCUUCACUCAUCAGGGAGACAAAUCCUUACUUCCUCUGUGCUGAGUGUGCGGCCAGCCCCAUGCUACUAGCUGGGACCUAGAAACGAACAGACAUAGGCCCUGCCCCUGCAGACUCCAGUGGGAAGGACAAAAAAAGCCCCACUGAUGAUUAAAAUAAAUGCUAUCAUAAAGGUCACAAAGAAGGAUCCCCUCACCUAGUUUGCAUGGGACAGGAAGAAUAGAAAAAUGUGGCCUGGUGAGAGUGGCAUUUGACCUGUGCUCUCUGCUCUGGGAAGACCCUCAGUGCCCCAGCAGUUGUCCAUUCUACUGGGCCAGGUCACCCACAGGGACCCUCACUGUGUCCUCCAGCCUCAUUGUUUGGUGUCCAGCCUUAACUCAUGUCCUGCCAAUGCCUCGACUGCAGGGACUGCUGACAAGUGGGGCCCAUCUCUGGGCCUGUAUUGUAUCCUCCCCCCUUUUUUUAAUAUUUAUUUAUUUUUGAGAGAGAAAGAGAGGGAGGGGCAUAGAGAGCGGGAGACAGAGAAUCAUAAGCAGGCUCCGCACUGUCAGAAGAGAGCCCGAUGUGGGGCUCGAACUCACAAACCCUGAGAUCACAACCUGAGCCAAAAUCAAGUCUGAUGCUUAACCAGGUGAGCCAGUUGAGCUACCUGAGCCGCCUAGGGGCCCUCCCAACCCCCCCCCCAACCCUCCCCACCCCAUGUCCCUCCUUCUGCUGUCUCAGUAAUCUCCAUUUCCCCUCUAGCAUUCCCUGACCCCAAGCACUUCCUCAAUCUUUUACCUUUCCAAGGACAACCCAGUUUAGUUUUAUUCUCCUCAACAAGCCUGAAACACAGAUGUGUUGUUUCCUCCCUCUUGAGGAGACAUGUGGAAAAAUCAUCCUGCCUUUAGAAACAUGAAGCCAGGCUAUUUCCUGGGGUGACAGGAGAAAGGAAAUGUUUACAUACAUGGUGUUUUUCUCAGUAACUCAGUUACUUGUUAGAUGGCAGGCACUGGUCUACAAGUUUUACAUGUAUUAUUUCAUUCAUUGCUCAUCACAGCCAUAUAAGUAGAUCAUAAUACUCAUUCUUCUUUUGCAAUUGAGAAAACAGAAGCUGAGAGGUUAAGUGCCAUGCCCAAGGUUAUGUAGCUAGCAAUGGUAUUAUCAAAUGGCAUCCAGUUAAUCUAUUUCCAAAGGUCAACUCUUAACCUUUAAAGUGAGGAGGGAUAUGGGACACCUGGGUGGGUCAAUCAGUUAAGCGGACUUCAGCUCAGGUCAUGAUCUCGAAGUCCCAGAGUUCAAUCCCCGUGUUGGCCUCUUUGCCGACAGCUCACAGCCUGAAGCCUGCUUCAGAUUCUGUGCUUCUGUCUCUCUGUCCCUCCCCUGUUCACUCUCUCUCUCUCUCUCUCUCUCUCUCAAAAACAAACAAAAACAAAAAAACAGAAAUGAAAAACAUUAAAAAAAAUUUAAAGUGUGAGGAGGAAACAAAAAAUUGUCCAGAGAAAGGUUAAGCCCUUACAAACCCAUUUAAGGCCUUACUUACUCCUGAGGAUAGUAGAAGGCCAUUACUGGGUUUUACACUGAGGGAAUCAGAUCAGAUUUCCAUAUCUGAUGCUUCCUGCUUGCUGCAAUUUGGAGAUGGGCUACUCUUUCAACUUUUUCGUAUUUCUCUUGAUACCUCCUGUCCCAUCCCACGUCAGGCCUCUCCCGUUCUUCUUCCUUCCAUAAUUCCUCCAUUUUCCCUCCAGUUGGAAGGACUGGAGCUUUGUGGACAAAGCUGAGAAGGCCCGUCUGCAGCACCAGGUCACUGAGGAUGGAGAGUUCUGGUGAGUCCAGGACCCAAGAGGACCCUGAAGGGUAAGGGAUCCAGUGGGGAGCUGAAAUCUCAAACCUCAAUCCCUGGAAAGAGGCCAUCACAUUGUAGCUCUCAGGAGAUCUGGGCCCUGUUCUCUUCCUCCAGCCCAAAGCCCAACAGGAUGGGGUUCUGAGAGGAGCCAGCCAGUCACAGAAACAACUAGAGCCUGGGACCAGGCCAGCACAAGGUGGCUCCUGCUUCGCCUAUAUCCCUCCGACGUGCACAUGGCCCCAGCCACUUGCUCCCUGUCUCCUGGGCCAAAGCAGCUCUGCUUUGCUCACCCAAUGCCACCCUCAUCCUCACUCGGCUCAUUUCUACUCAGCCCUUGAGUCUCAGCUUAAAGGAAACUUUUCCGGAUCCCUGUGUUUUGCCCAGAACUGGGAUUAAUUAGUGAGACUCAUCAUCCUUGAAAUUGCUUGCUUAGUUGUCUGUCCUUCCUCAAACUGUCUUUCUUUCCGGUGAGCCCAGCACAGCACCGGGGCCCAGGGCAGAGGCACACGGUGCCAUUGGGAGAACUGAAUUGCUACCGAGCUCUCCCAGAGAGGACACAGGAGUUUGAGCUAUUACUGGAAGAGACAGUAGUUUGGGGUGGAGGCAUGAGAACUGACAGUGUUUACCCUAACGAGGAAGGGCAGGGGCGUCCCUGGGGCCAUGCCCAAGUUCCUGUGAACUGUGUGAUGGUGCUGCUCCGGUCCCCGAGUCUUACCUCUCCCAGCCUCCCAUAUGGGUCUCUCUCUUCCAACCUCUCAGGAUGUCAUAUGACGAUUUCAUCUACCAUUUCACAAAGCUGGAGAUCUGCAACCUCACGGCGGAUGCCCUGGAGUCCGACAAGAUGCAGACGUGGACGGUCUCCGUGAACGAGGGCCGCUGGGUGAGGGGCUGUUCUGCCGGAGGCUGCCGCAACUUCCCAGGUGGGAGAGGCUCGGGAUGGGGGAGGGUCCAAGGGCAACAAGUUCCAGGUGGAAUAAUUCCAUUCACUGAGUCUGUAUUAAGUUCCAGGUGUAUCUUAUCUUAUUAAACCCUCCCUAUUUUACCAAGAAGGAAACCGCCUGCUGAGGAGUGUGCGGUGGGGAGCUGGUAACAACUUUUCAGCAGGACACUGUGUCGGAACAACACUACAUUCAUAAUGCUGAGAAUGGGACUGGAAAACGGAGUUAGCAGAGCCUGCCAGGGCACAAGCCAGAGAUGAUGAAAACCAAAGCAAGUCGGGGGCAGCAGAGAUGGAGGGAAGAGGGCAGAUUUAGGGAACAGAAUAUUGGGUGACGUCACUGAAGAGUGACUUCAAGCUUCCCAGUUUGGGGGGCCCGAGUGGAUGGUGUCAAUGUCGCAAUGUAAAACAUACAGGAGGGAAAAAUCAGCAUGUUGUUUGUUUUUUUGGUGGAGUUGGUUGUGGGCUUGUGGGGAGAGGAGUUCGGUUUGGCACAUGGGAAGUUGAGGCACCUGUAGAAAUAUCCAGGUGAAGACGUGUCCUAGAGAAUUGGAUACACAGAUUAGAAUGGUACUUGGUUGUAUGAUUAGAACUUGAUAUAUAUUUGUGGAAUAUAUAUAGUUCAGGCAUUAUGGUCAUGCAGGGACAGUUAAAAAGUGGAUAAAACAGGAGCGCCUGGGUGGCUCAGUCAGUUAAGUGUCCGACUUUCCAUCUCAGCUCGGGUCACGAUCUCAGGGGUUUGUGAGUUGGAGCCCCACAUGAGGCUCACAGCUGUCAGUUCAGAGCCUGCUUUGGAUUCUCUGUCUCCCUCUUUCUCUGCCCCUCCCUGCUCUCUCUCUCUCAAAAAUAAACAUUAAAAAAAGUUUUUUUAAGUGGAUAAGACGGCCUAGGGAGGCAGAAUAGUGGGGUGGGAGAGAGGCCUAAGACCACAUCCCAAGGACCAACAACAUUUAAAGGGCAGGUGAGGAAAGGGAAACCAUCAGCAGAGAAUGAGAAUCACAGCUCCGGGAGGGGGAAGAAGCCACACACAGCCAAGCAGUGAGGCUCCAUCUCUAUAAAGGUGGAGCACAGUUCCCCCCACAUAGUUUGGCAAAUGCCUGCGUCAUGCCUUCUGUAUUUAUUGAGCGCCUAGAUGCAGGGGAUAAAUAGGUUCCCUCUGUCUUAUUUCCCUUCCUGACCUUUCUCUGAGAGGCAGAUCUGAAUGUACGUUUCCUUCCUUGGGGGCACAGACACUUUCUGGACCAACCCACAGUACCGUCUGAAGCUCCUGGAGGAGGACGAUGACCCUGAAGACUCGGAGGUGAUCUGCAGCUUCCUGGUGGCCCUGAUGCAGAAGAACCGGAGGAAGGACCGGAAGCUGGGGGCCAACCUCUUCACCAUUGGCUUUGCCAUCUACGAGGUGUGCAGUUCCUAACUAGCUUUAGCCCAGGAAACACAUUCCUUGGGGGUGGGGAGCCUCCCAAAUACUCAGUGCCCGCCCCCCUGGCCCUGAACUCCUAGAAUCAGACCCUCAUGUGUCAGAAUCUCUUAGAUAUUUGUAAUGAGUGGAAAAAACCAGGUUGGGGGAGAUGGAGCAGGGCUGGGCUGGGGCUGGGGCUGGCCAGAUAGAUGAGGAGUAGAUGAGGAGUCAGACAUCUGCAUUCACUCCACAGUUGUGGGCAUUCCCUCCCUGCAAGAGUUUCAUCCCCAUUCAGAUCUGAAGUCCACAGAAUCUGAGCGUCUUCUUUUUCUGUUUCUCCUCAAGGUUCCCAAAGAGGUACAGAAGUGGCAGCGGCCAGCAGUUGUGUGCAGCAUUACCUGGGGGUCCUGUGUCCAUCAGUGGCACAUCGGGAAGCUUCCUGGUGGGGUUUGAGGACAGGACUAUGAUAGGAGAGGGUCUCGCCUGGGUCACACAACUCCAGAGCGGGUGCCUCAGGGUACUGCAUGACCCCCUGACUAUCACCCUCAUGAGAAGCCCUUUAUCCCUUCCCACCAGAGACUGUCACACAUACGCUCUCACACAUUCAUACGCACUUCUUCUCUCACACACACGCAUACACUUGCUCACACUCAUACACAUUUGUACUCACAGUUACACACUCACGCACACAGUCACACAGACACAUUCUGAGGGUGACUGCCCUCUUUGGGAUGGAGGAAUCGCCUCCCUCAGACCCCAGCCAAGGCCCCUCCUGCCUCCUUGGGGUCCUUCCCCAGCCUGGAGGUGAUUUGGAGCUGACCAGCAGCAGUUCUGGUAAGUGGGGGGAAUGAUAGACUUGACCUUCACUUCUGAAUCACAACAGAAAAAGAGGAAAUGGGGUAGGGAGCUCCAGGGAUGUUGAGCUAUUUGAGGCCUUGGGAAUCGGAAGUAGGUAGGUCAUGACAGUGAACUGGGUAACCAGGGAGUUGGGGUAACCCCUGGACGGGGACUGUGAGCAGGACAGGACAUCCUUCUGGAGGAGCUCAGGUCCCUCGGGCUCUUCUCCCCUUCAGAUGCACGGGAACAAGCAGCACCUGCAGAAGGACUUCUUCCUGUACAAUGCCUCCAAGGCCAGGAGCAAGACCUACAUCAACAUGCGGGAGGUGUCUGAGCGCUUCCGCCUACCUCCCAGCGAGUAUGUCAUCGUGCCCUCCACCUAUGAGCCACACCAGGAGGGAGAAUUCAUCCUCCGGGUGUUCUCUGAAAAAAGGAACCUCUCUGAGUGAGUCAGCCUGCUUUCCCCUCCUGUCCCUAAAAGCCCAUGUGGCCCAUUCCAGAGAUUGGAGAUGUGAGGUAGCUGGACCUGUCACCUCCAGGAAUCCUGGGAUAUGUUGGCCAGGCUGCCCUUCUUCCUCUGCUCCUGAGUCACUGGCCACAUCUCCUCCAUUUGUUUAGUCAGUCUGUCACCCCACAGAUCUCUAUAGAGAACCUACUAAGUUCCAGGCACUCUUUUUCUAGGGACUAAGGAUAGAACAGUGAAUUAAACAGAAAGAAAUCCCUGCCCUCAUGGAGUUCAACAUUCUAGCAUGAGACAGCAAUGCAUAGGGGGAAAAAUAUGCAUAUAUGUGUUUGAGGGAGGUAAGUGAUAAGGAGAAAGAAAUACAGUAGGGAACAAGGAUAGGAGGCAUUAGGGGUGACGGAACUUUUAUGUGAGGUGACCAGGGAAGCCAGCAAGGCCACAUCCUGCAUUUUUUGCUCACUGCAGAUGAUUUCAUAAGCCCAACUACUCUGGACUCUGCCCUUGAGAAACACAAAGUCUAGGGGUAGGUGGCUGAGUCUGGGCACCUGGGCAAAGCCAACAAGAACCCAUGUGUCUGCACUUGGCUGCUGGGGAUGGUGCCUACAUGGGGUUGGUUCCCGUGGUGGAGUAUUAGUUCCUGUGGUUCCCUUGAAGUCAGCUCUGACUUGGCUCUGAGGACCUGUGUGGCCUGGGCAAAUUCUCUCUAUGCUACCUGCUUACUCCUGGGGACAGUGAGACCCCCGCUCAUGUUUGUGUUUCUCCACAGGGAAGUUGAAAAUACAAUCUCCGUGGAUCGGCCCGUGGUGAGUGCUUUAGUUCUUAUGUGUGAGAAGGUCCAGAGGCUCACCUUCCCCCAUGCAGGCAGGGGACAUAGGGGCGGUGGAGGGGAGAGUGGGUAUUGGCAGAGAAGAUGGGAGUCUGGGGCCUGCAGGGCAAUUCUUCCAUGUUAGUGCAGUUUCUGUUUGUCCCAACUAGAGGUAACAGGCCUCACGGUACUGGGCCGUGUACUCAAUCCAGGGUCUAGGAAGCACAGAAGAAGAGUCUUGGAAGGGAAAAGCAGUUUGAACAGCGAGAGAGAGGGGUCAAGGCCAUAGUAAGGGACAACAAGAGCAACAGAUUGGAUUAUGAGAGUCAGUCUCACAUAUGGAAAAGAAUACACACCAGCUCUGGAGUCAGCAUCAAAACCUGGGUCCUCCACCUAGAGCUGGGUGAUUUGGACAAGUUAUGUAACCCCUCAUUUUCCUACUCUGUAAAAUGGGGACAAUAAUAUGUGCCUUGCAAGGCUCUUAGGAAGUUUGA